GGCGGUAUCGUCUAGGGGUCAGGACACGUGGUUCUCAGCCACGGGACCGGGGUUCGAUUCCCCGUACCGCUA
rnacentral:tRNA from 1 species